UCCAGUUUCAGUUGGUUGA
rnacentral:misc_RNA from 1 species